GCCUGGCUGGCUCAGUUGGUAGAGCAUGCGACUCUGGAUCUCAGGGUUGUGGGUUCAAGCCCCCCGUCGGGGG
rnacentral:tRNA from 1 species